GAAGGUAUAGCUCAGUGGUAGAGUGCAUGCCUAGCAUGCAUAAGGUCCAGGGUUCAAUUCCCAGUACCUUCA
rnacentral:tRNA from 1 species